UACGGAGGGUGCGAGCGUUGUCCGGAAUCACUGGGCGUAAAGGGCGCGUAGGCGGUCGGGUAAGCGUGUGGUGAAAGUCCGGGGCUCAACCCCGGAUCGGCCGUGCGAACUGCUCGACUUGAGCACUGUAGAGGCAGGUGGAAUUCCGGGUGUAGCGGUGGAAUGCGUAGAGAUCCGGAAGAACACCGGUGGCGAAGGCGGCCUGCUGGGCAGUGGCUGACGCUGAGGCGCGACAGCGUGGGGAGCAAACAGG
rnacentral:rRNA from 2 species